AGCAGAUAAAAAGCUGCAGGAUCUCCAUGACACAGGGCAACAACAGGGUAACUGAGAGGAGUCCUGAUGAGGAUCCAGUAUUGACAGUGCAGCAGAAGCCAGAGGCCUCAAACCAGACUAAUGCCUUGUUGAAAUAAACAGCAAGGAAGAUGUUUGGAUGAAAGGGUAUAUACUGUGGCUCACUGGACUCUGCAGAAAAGAAGGCAGAAAGAUUGUAAAAGCCAGAGGAGCUGGAGGGCACCAAAGAAACAAGGUGUUAUGAAUAUUGGUGUCUGAAACUUUCAGGAAUUGAACCUGGAAGCCUUCCACAGGCUAAGCAAUGACAGCCCCCAGAGAAGAGCAGUAGAAAGGAGUGGAGUAAUCCUACUGUGAAGGUCUGAAGUGUCUUGUCUGUCACUUCUACCAUUUGAGGGUUUGGCUAGUUAAGGAACCACAGACUGAACUGUCACCAGAUAUCAAAUCUGCCAGCAAUUUUGCCUUGAUCCCCACCCCAGUUUCAAGAACUGUGAAGAAAGAAAGUUGUUUAGAAGGGCUAGAGGUUGAAAGUGUGGAAGAAAAAAGGUGGAGAAGGGUAGAAGAAAGAAGAACCCACAAAGCAGUUAAGGACAAGCUACUGAUAUUGUCCUUGCUCUUGGUUGACAUCAGAAUUUGAUGACUCCAGGAUCAUCUGGGAGAUUCGAAUCUGGUCAUGUCUGUGAAGGUUCCUCUUGAUUGGGUUAGCUGAGGUGAAAAGACCUGCCUCCCGUGUGUGUAUGGCUUAGUUCUGUGGCUGGAUCUUAGGCUAAGGAAAGAGAACUUAUCAGCAUGCACACAUUCAUUUCCUUCUUUUCCCAGUUUAGGAUAAAGUACAACCAACUCCCCUAAUUUUCUGGUACUACGAUGAUAUGAUUUCCCUGCUGUGAUAGACUGUGAU